AAAGCCAAACGGUGGAGAAUUGGGCAUCCCGUUCCGCUCUGCCAUAGACAAACCUUCUAUCGGUAGACUAGUAGUUGAGUGGGUGACCAUCAGCGAAUCCCUACUGUUUAUAA
rnacentral:rRNA from 1 species